AGUGAUAUUGUGCUGUUUAUGGACUGACACGCUACUUCUGGAAAGCGUGUAUACCCCAAAAGGGUAUCGGGGGUUCGAAUCCCCCUCACUCCG
rnacentral:tRNA from 1 species